CAUCUGGUGAAUGAAGAAAUUGCUGACACGUUCGUUGCAGUCUAGCUGCCACUAACAGGGUGGAAAACAAAGGUCGCCAUUCCGAUUAACUGCUAUCUCCCAGUUCAAGCACUUUUGCUGUCCAAACACUGGUUCCUGUGGAUGGGGUGGCACACGCUUCACUGUCUAAUAUAGAAGGAAUUAUUCUGAAUGAUGCAGACAAAUUUCUAAAUACAGCAGAAUGAAUUAACCUAACGAUUGGGAAAAGUCUUCCCAGGAGCAGGAACCGCAGGACUAAAAGCAAAAUACGGUAAAUACGGCAAACUGGAACAUAUAAGCAAAUGGUGCACAGGGCAUGCAAGUUGUAAGCAUGAGCAACA